ACAGUUUGAUCCUGGCUCAGAUUGAACGCUGGCGGCAUGCUUUACACAUGCAAGUCGAACGGUAACAGGGAGCUUGCUCCGCUGACGAGUGGCGAACGGGUGAGUAAUGCAUCGGAACGUACCGUGUAAUGGGGGAUAACGUAGCGAAAGUUACGCUAAUACCGCAUACGCCCUGAGGGGGAAAGCGGGGGCUUCGUAAGAACCUCGCGCAAUUAGAGCGGCCGAUGUCGGAUUAGCUAGUUGGUGGGGUAAAGGCUCACCAAGGCGACGAUCCGUAGCGGGUCUGAGAGGAUGAUCCGCCACACUGGGACUGAGACACGGCCCAGACUCCUACGGGAGGCAGCAGUGGGGAAUUUUGGACAAUGGGCGAAAGCCUGAUCCAGCCAUGCCGCGUGAGUGAAGAAGGCCUUCGGGUUGUAAAGCUCUUUCAGCCGGAAAGAAAUCGCGCAUGCUAAUACUC
rnacentral:rRNA from 1 species